rnacentral:rRNA from 1 species
UACAGCGGUCUCAACCGUUGUUCGGAUUCAUUGGGCGUAAAGGGUGCGUAGGCGGUCGGGUAAGUCGGAUGUGAAAUCCCAGGGCUCAACCCUGGAACUGCAUUCGAUACUGCCUGGCUAGGGUACUGGAGAGGAGACUGGAAUUUACGGUGUAGCAGUGAAAUGCGUAGAUAUCGUAAGGAAGACCAGUGGCGAAGGCGAGUCUCUGGACAGUUACCGACGCUGAGGCACGAAGGUCAGGGGAGCAAACGGG